GUCGUUUUCCAAAAUUAUAGGAGUGAAUCACUCCCAUAAAUAAUAUUCCUAUAUAAAAUAAUAUAAAUAAUAUUCCUUUUGAAAAAAGUGUUUGCUAACAUCUCUCAUGUCUUGCGUUAAAAAAAAUGAGAUGCAUUAUCUAUAACCCUCUUCAGAAGUAAAAAGUGCAGUUUUUCCAAGUGCGUUCCAAGAGCGGGCAACAGUCAUCAGUGGAGAUACUGUGGAAAUGUGCCUUGUGCCAAUAAAUGCAUCUCAUGUUUCAUCCAAAUGAUUGAGUAUUAAAAAGCAGCUUUUAGUUAUUAUGGGGCGGUCGACAGAACUAUAUUUGAAACAACCGUAAUAACCGUAAAUGUGGCCUCCUAAUAAGGACUCUGGAAUUCUUGAAAAAAUUUGAACAAUCGAUUCUAACCUCCACGAUAGUCAUUAUUUCGUUCAUUUCUGCAGUGGGCCCCAACCCUCCUCGACAGAAGGCAUCCUCCUGUUAUGGGCAAGAGAAAUUAUGCCAAUAAAUCGGACAAUUCGAAAAAUUAAGUGUGACUUUCAGGGUGGCUAUCAUUAAUCUCUGACUUUCUUCAUCAUCCUCUGCCUUCAAGGAACAGCAAGAAGGGAUUCCAUACUUUGAAUUGUUUCGUGUUUUGUGAUUAGGCUCUAUCAAAUUACAAAAAUGCAUUUUUGUUUAAUAUGGGUCGUCGGCAUUAUUAAUGUUGAAUGUAAAUAAGUCUAGAAAAUUCAAUGCAAAUAAAUAUUAAUUUAUGAUUCUUGUUUAAA